UCCAUAAAAUUCUAAAUAUUU
rnacentral:piRNA from 1 species